rnacentral:misc_RNA from 1 species
UAUUCUCACCCCUCUUAACUUUCGAGUUGAUGAGGUCGGUGGUCUUGGACGCCUGCUGUAGUAAUAUGGCUCGUCUCAAAUGCAUGAGUGUGACCCCCUUGUAUGACGGUGUCAUCUGGUGUGAUAAGUAUCUUCACUGGAGUAUCUUGGAUGGACAGUGUCUGUUCGAGAGCAUCGUUGAGGUGUGGUUGUGCUACCAACCGUCUUUACAUUAAGACAACCUUACUUGACA